rnacentral:rRNA from 1 species
UACGUAGGGCGCGAGCGUUUGUCCGGAAUUAUUGGGCGUAAAGAGCUCGUAGGCGGCCUGUUGCGUCUGCUGUGAAAUCCCGGGGCUUAACCCCGGGCGUGCAGUGGAUACGGGCAGGCUGGAGGCAGGCAGGGGAGAACGGAAUUCCCGGUGUAGCGGUGAAAUGCGCAGAUAUCGGGAGGAACACCGGUGGCGAAGGCGGUUCUCUGGGCCUGUACUGACGCUGAGGAGCGAAAGCGUGGGGAGCGAACAGG